rnacentral:rRNA from 1 species
AAACCAGCACCUCAAGUGGUCAGGAGGAUUAUUGGGCCUAAAGCAUCCGUAGCCUGCUCUGUAAGUUUCCGGUUAAAUUCAUUAGCUCAACUAAUGGCCUGCCGGAAAUACUGCAGAGCUAGGGAGUGGGAGAGGUAGACGGUACUCGGUAGGAAGGGGUAAAAUCCUUUGAUCUAUUGAUGACCACCUGUGGCGAAGGCGGUCUACCAGAACACGUUCGACGGUGAGGGAUGAAAGCUGGGGGAGCAAACCGGAUUAGAAACCCUGGUAGUCC